rnacentral:misc_RNA from 1 species
GGGAAACAAACCCAGGCGGCGGUCAGCUGAUGCGCCGCCAGCGGGUCAUCUAUAGCCUCUCUGCACCAUGUCCGGCUGCGGGCGGCGGCCUCCCAGACCCGGUAUGGUGCCAGGCGGGGGGAUGGGGCAGGGGUGGGUGCUGGGGGUGAACAUGCCACCCCUGGGAUACGGCUUAGUGGCUCAGCAACCCCACAUGGCUGCCCCACAGCCCCACAUGGCUGCCCCACAGCCCCACAUGGCUCCUCACCAGCCCCUCAUGGCCCCACAGCAAGCAUGGCAGCAGCAGCAGCAGCAACACUUUAUGGCCCAGCAGGCGGGUCUGGCGGGAGCACCAAUGGGAGUGGCGACCCUCACACAGCAGCAGCAACAGCAACAACAGCAGCAGUUCCCACAGCACCUCCAGCAGCAGUGGAUGGAGGCACAACGGAGGGCGGCGGAGGAGCAGCGGAAGUACUAUGACCAGAUGAUGAAGCAGCGGCAGUUUGAUGAGCAGAAGAUGAGGCUCAAGGCGUUCAGUGCGUCAAAGAAGACCGGUGUAAGUGCGGACACCAUGAUAGAGAGCAUUUUAGGAGGGAAGGAGGCACCCAAGCAAAGAUCACCACAACCUGUUAAGAAGGGUGGAGGAGGGGCUGAGGAGCAGGGGGCACACACAGCAGCUACCACCACCAGUCAGGCACAGACGCCUCGCCAGGGCACUGCGGUGGACUGGAAGAAGAUGGAAAAUGUUAACUCUCUCUUUGCCUCCCCCAAGAAAACCAUCACCCCUGUCACCACCACCACCAGCACCACAGAACACCCUAUACACCCAGCCCAGGACACCACCAGCAACACACCCCUGCCAGCCCCUACUGUAGCCCCAAAUAACAUCACCCAACAAGCCCCUGCCCAGCCUGCACCACCUAUCACCAUGGGAGAUGUCGCUGGUGGGAGAAAGGAAGGGAAGAGUCCAGUUAUCCUCCCGCAGUGGCUGAAGGACUCUAGUGCAGUGCCUGAGGUGUAUAAGAGGGCAGUGGGGCUGGUGGCCAGGGCAGAGGGCUGGGUGGACACCAGUAGAGCCUAUAUGUUGUUGAUGAAGACAGGCCUCCCACCACCUCUUCUGGGAGUGCUGUGGGAGAUGGUGAACUGCACAGCGCCUGGACAGCUCACACAGGAGGAGUUUGUGGCGUUGUUGGCUCUUGUGGCGGUGGUGCAGUCAGGACAGCCCAUCACAGGCCCAGAUGUCUUGGCUGCCACCACUGAACCUCUCCUGCCCCUCAUGGAUCACCCUGCACUGGCUCCACUGGUCCAGGAUUACCUACAGACAAAGAAGCAACAGGCGGAGAACAACACACCACAGACAAACGACGAUGAUGAAUUUGAUGACUUUGUGAGCGUUACUGUUACAAGCACCACUGCACCACCUCAGGCUUCUGUAGUGUCACAAGGCUUCACACAGACAGCACAGGCAGCACCACAGCCAGCAGGGACUAGUGCGUGGCCUCAGGUAACAGCAGCAGAGGCCCAGAAGCCUGACGUCCCACAGAUUGACAAGAACAAAGCCAUGAACCUCCCAAAACUCGGCCUGUCACCUGAACUUUCCCCAACUGUGAGUUUCGACGAUGAUUUUGAUGAUUUCCAGAGUGCGUCCCUGCCUGGUGUUUCUCAGGUAAAUGCUGGUAGUGGCACAUCAACUACUACUACUACUACUACUGCUACUGCUACUAUUACUACAUCCACCCCUGCUGCUGCUCCUUCAGUCCUGCAGCCAGAGAAGCCAGGGGUAGCAGAGGAUAAGUAUGCAGUAUUCCGAGAGAUCACUGGACUGUCGGUGCAGGAAACAGUAAAUGAAGGUGAGAACGCAGACGACAGCUUUGGGGAGUUUUGCAGCAGUGAAGUGGCCAGUCUUAGCCUUGCCCAGAGCACCUCCUCCACACUGCCAAGCUUACUGCAGUGUCAGAGCGCGUCGGGAACCAGCAACACUUCUCCGAUUAGCUUUGAAGUCUACAGCACCCCUCCUGAGGCUCUUCCUGAUACGCAGACUUUCGAGGCAGAUUUCAGCAGUGCGUUUGCCCCUAAGCAGCCUGACAACUAUGCCGACAUCCACGAGGCAAUGAAGCGCGCAGAGGAGGAGCAGAAACGGAAGGAGGAAAACAGGUGGAGUGAUCCAUUCGGGGAGUUUGAGGAAGCUACUCCGCCAAGCAUCUCCGCUCCACCCGCCCCCGCUUCCAAUGGUUCAGGUGGUUCUCUGCCGCCGCCGUCGCUGCCGCCUGCUCUCUCUGUUCCUUGGCUCAAAGUAGGGAGUGGCGGGGAGGAGGAGGAGGAGGAGGAGGACUUCGGGGACUUCAUGGGGCCUACAGAGGGAGGAGGAGGACUGGGGGGGCUUGGUGGAGGCAGUCAGUCUUUGCCUCCUCAUCUGGAGAACCUUGGAGAGACACAGUCAGUUGCAAGCCUUGAGUUGCCUGGCCUGGAGAUGACAGUGGGUGUGGAAACAUCAGAUACUCUCGGACUUGGCUCCAACCACUCCCCCGACCUCUUCCUUCAGCCCAGGAGUGAUGUCGGGUGUCUGGACGAUCAGUUUGGUGGCCUGAGCCUUGACUCCUCGGCUCCACCACCCGCAGGAGGUGUGAAGGGCAGCAGUGGUGGUGGUGGUGGUGGUGGAAUGAACAACAACAGCAACAGUAGCAGCCUGGCACCCCAACACAGCACCACAGGACCAGCAGGGAGUGUGAUAGACUCUUACUGCAGCACUGGGGGUUUGGUGGACAAGUACAGCAUCAUCAGGGAGGAGGCCAGCAGGGACACACAGCCCCCCGGGGAGGCCCACACAGGGUCCUGGGAGAGGUGCCUGGAGGGGAGUGUGAAGCUGCUGGAGGAGGCUCACGGCAUCCUGUCCAGCCUCGCCCUGCCAGCCUCCCUCAAGACGCAGGUCCUCGCCACCACACAGAUGCAGGACUACCUCGCCAACGUGCAGGAGGUGUGGCUGGUGUGUGGUCGCAUCGGCAGCUCGAGUCGCAGGGUCACCACCAGCACCAGAGUGGAUGAGCUGCUGUCCCAGGCACGCUCACUCUGGGAGGACAUUCUGGCGGGGGCGGAGAAUGCUAUCGUCAAGCAGCCGGAGACAGACAGCAGCAGCGAUGAGAACGACAACCACAUGGGGGAGGGCGAGGUGUGUGGUGUGUGCUUGACGGGAGGUGGUAGCAGACUGACUUACGGUGGCCACUCGUACCACCCACCCUGUGCUAACCUGUGGCUGAACUGUGUGGACCUGCUACUGCCCUCCCUCACUCCUGUCACUCUACUCUGACCUAGCCCGGCUGUGUCCGAGGCUGCAGGAUAGCUUGCUGUGUAGGUGAGCUGUAGUAGUAGUAGUAGUAGUAGUAGUAGUAGUAGUAGUAGUAGUAGUAGUAGUA